UUUAGUUUUGCAAUUGGAUUGAGAACAAUGUACAAAUGUUAUCGAUAAACAAUUGGAGGGCAAGUCUGGUGCCAGCAGCCGCGGUAAUUCCAGCUCCAAUAGCGUAUAUUAACGUUGUUGCAGUUAAAAAGCUCGUAGUUGAAAUGUGGGAUGAAGUAUAUAAUGAAUUUCUAAUUCAAUUGUAUAUUGAUUCCCCUCUCCAAUUUAUUAUUAUGGGUAUUAAUUUAUUUGUAAUAAGAAUUGGUCAUUUACUGUGAGAAAAUUAGAGUGUUCAAAGCAGGCAUUUGCUUGAAUAGAUUAGCAUGGAAUAAUACUAAAAGGCUUUUAUGGUCGAUUUAAUUGGUUUGUUCAUAAAAGCAAGAUUAAAAGGAACAGUUGGGGGUAUUCAUAUUCAAUAGUUAGAGGUGAAAUUCUCGGAUUUAUGGAAGAUGAACAAGUGCGAAAGCA
rnacentral:rRNA from 1 species